rnacentral:rRNA from 1 species
GCUUGUCUCAAAGAUUAAGCCAUGCAUGUCUCAGCAUAAGCUUCAACACGGUGAAACUGCAAAUGGCUCAUUAAAGCAGUUACAAUUUAUUUGAUGGUCACUGUUACAUGGAUAACUGUGGUAAUUCUAGAGCUAAUACAUGCAUCAAAACCUGACUCUUGGGAAGGGUUGUGUUUAUUAGAUACAAACCAAUGCGGGGCAACCCGGAUUCUGGUGAUUCAUAAUAAUUAUCGGAUCGAUCGUAUGAUCGAUGCAUCAUUCAAGUUUCUGCCCUAUCAGCUUUGGAUGGUAGGGUAUUGGCCUACCAUGGCAUUAACGGGUAACGGAGAAUUAGGGUUCGAUUCCGGAGAGGGAGCCUGAGAAAUGGCUACCACAUCCAAGGAAGGCAGCAGG